rnacentral:rRNA from 1 species
CGGCAGGCUUAACACAUGCAAGUCGAGGGGCAGCACGGUAGCAAUACCUGGUGGCGACCGGCGCAAGGGUGCGUAACGCGUGAGCAACAUGCCCUAUACAGGGGGAUAAUCCAGGGAAACUUGGUCUAAUAUCCCAUAGUAUUUAGAGGAGGCAUCUUCUAUAAAUUAAAGCUUCGGUGGUAUAGGAUUGGCUCGCGUGACAUUAGCUAGAUGGUGAGGUAACGGCUCACCAUGGCAAUGAUGUCUAGGGGUUCUGAGAGGAAGGCCCCCCACACUGGGACUGAGACACGGCCCAGACUCCUACGGGAGGCAGCAGUGAGGAAUAUUGGACAAUGGAUGGAAAUCUGAUCCAGCCAUGCCGCGUGCAGGAAGACAGCCCUAUGGGUUGUAAACUGCUUUUAUAUGGGAGCAAUAAGGUCUACGUGUAGACUGAUGAGAGUACCAUAUGAAUAAGCAUCGGCUAACUCCGUG